rfam:Planktothrix serta PCC 8927 isolate BBR_PRJEB10992 genome assembly, scaffold: BBR_A_PL8927_scaffold87
AGGCAGGGCUGAUGACUGGGGUGAAGUCGUAACAAGGUAGCCGUACCGGAAGGUGUGGCUGGAUCACCUCCUUU